rnacentral:rRNA from 1 species
CCAAUAGCGUAUAUUAAAGUUGUUGCAGUUAAAAAGCUCGUAGUUGAAUUUCGGGGUCAGUAGGUCGGUCGUGCCACUGGUAUGAACUGGUUUUACUGAUUCCUCCCUCUUGAAGAACUGUAAUGCCAUUAAUUUGGUGUUGCAGGGAAUCAGGACUGUUACUUUGAAAAAAUUAGAGUGUUUAAAGCAGGCUUUAGCUUGAAUACAUUAGCAUGGAAUAAUGAAAUAGGACGUUUGAUCCUAUUUUGUUGGUUUCUAGGAUUGACGUAAUGAUUAAUAGGGAUAGUUGGGGGCAUUAGUAUUCAAUUGUCAGAGGUGAAAUUCUUGGAUUUAUUGAAGACUAACUACUGCGAAAGCAUUUGCCAAGGAUGUUUUCAUUAAUCAAGAACGAAAGUUAGGGGAUCGAAGACGAUCAGAUACCGUCGUAGUCUUAACCAUAAACUAUGCCGACUAGGGAUCGGAUGAUGUUAAUUUUUUAAUGACUCAUUCGGCGCCUUAUG